rnacentral:rRNA from 1 species
GAGACUUCGGUGGAUUUGAUCUAUUUCGAGUGGCGGACGGGUGAGUAACGCGUGGGUAACCUGCCUUAUACAGGGGGAUAACAGUCAGAAAUGGCUGCUAAUACCGCAUAAGCGCACAGAGCUGCAUGGCUCAGUGUGAAAAACUCCGGUGGUAUAAGAUGGACCCGCGUUGGAUUAGCUUGUUGGUGGGGUAACGGCCCACCAAGGCGACGAUCCAUAGCCGGCCUGAGAGGGUGAACGGCCACAUUGGGACUGAGACACGGCCCAGACUCCUACGGGAGGCAGCAGUGGGGAAUAUUGCACAAUGGGGGAAACCCUGGAUGCAGCGACGCCGCGUGAAGGAAGAAGUAUCUCGGUAUGUAAACUUCUAUCAGCAGGGAAGAUAGUGACGGUACCUGACUAAGAAGCCCCGGCUAACUACGUGCCAGCAGCCGCGGUAAUACGUAGGGGGCAAGCGUUAUCCGGAUUUACUGGGUGUAAAGGGAGCGUAGACGGUGUGGCAAGUCUGAUGUGAAAGGCAUGGGCUCAACCUGUGGACUGCAUUGGAAACUGUCAUGCUUGAGUGCCGGAGGGGUAAGCGGAAUUCCUAGUGUAGCGGUGAAAUGCGUAGAUAUUAGGAGGAACACCA